rnacentral:rRNA from 1 species
UACAGAGGGGGCAAGCGUUGUCCGGAUUUACUGGGCGUACAGCGCGCGCAGGCGGGCGUGUAUGUGAGCGGUGACAUCCGCGGGCUCAACCCGCGGCGGCCCGCUUACACAGCGCGACUGGAGGCAGGGAGAGGGAUGUGGAAUACCCGGUGGAGCGGUGAAAUGCGUAGAGAUCGGGUGGAACACCAGCGGCGAAGGCGGCAUCCUGGCCCUGUACUGACGCUGAGGCGCGAUGGCGUGGGGAGCAAACGGG